rnacentral:rRNA from 1 species
CCUACGGGGUGCACCAGUGGGGAAUAUUGCACAAUGGGCGCAAGCCUGAUGCAGCCAUGCCGCGUGUAUGAAGAAGGCCUUCGGGUUGUAAAGUACUUUCAGCGAGGAGGAAGGCAUUAAGGUUAAUAACCUUAGUGAUUGACGUUACUCGCAGAAGAAGCACCGGCUAACUCCGUGCCAGCAGCCGCGGUAAUACGGAGGGUGCAAGCGUUAAUCGGAAUUACUGGGCGUAAAGCGCACGCAGGCGGUCUGUCAAGUCGGAUGUGAAAUCCCCGGGCUCAACCUGGGAACUGCAUCCGAAACUGGCAGGCUAGAGUCUUGUAGAGGGGGGUAGAAUUCCAGGUGUAGCGGUGAAAUGCGUAGAGAUCUGGAGGAAUACCGGUGGCGAAGGCGGCCCCCUGGACAAAGACUGACGCUCAGGUGCGAAAGCGUGGGGAGCAAACAGGAUUAGAUACCCCCGUAGUC